rnacentral:rRNA from 1 species
GAUGAACGCUGGCGGCGUGCUUAACACAUGCAAGUCGAACGAAGAUGCCGGAGUGCUUGCACUUUGGCAGACUGAGUGGCGGACGGGUGAGUAACGCGUGGGUAACCUGCCUUAUACAGGGGGAUAACAGUUGGAAACGACUGCUAAUACCGCAUAAGCGCACGGUAUCGCAUGAUACAGUGUGAAAAACUCCGGUGGUAUAAGAUGGACCCGCGUCUGAUUAGCUUGUUGGUGAGGUAACGGCCCACCAAGGCGACGAUCGGUAGCCGGACUGAGAGGUUGAACGGCCACAUUGGGACUGAGACACGGCCCAGACUCCUACGGGAGCAGCAGUGGGGAAUAUUGCACAAUGGGGGAAACCCUGAUGCAGCGACGCCGCGUGGAGGAAGAAGGUCUUCGGAUUGUAAAACUCCUGUUGUUGAGGAAAGAUAAAUGACGGUACUCAACAAGGAAGUGAACGGCUAACUACGUG